CAAUCAAAAAAUAGAGUAAACUGUGCAGUACAAAAAACUCCCCCUUGUACCGAGGGUUCAGAGCAUAUUCUGUUAUAGGAGGGAGGAAUAACAUUAGAGCUACCGGCAGCACAACCAGUCGAGGUGCAGUUGCAAGGGACUCUGCCUGGGAGUGCUGGCGCAACCAAGGUGGUCGCCGUUGCGGUCAGAAAAAUGCCAAUCGGAAAGAGCAGAGCCUCCCAGGCUCAAGUAGGGAGGUGGGCCGCACAAGACAAAAUCGUGGAGCGGACAUGACAGCCAUGAUUGUGAUUAAACAGGGUCCAUAAGGAGGGGAACACCCCAGUGGGAUAGAGAAUAAGUAGCAAACCAAACAAAAAUAUAAUAAAUAAUUGUGUAAACGAUAAUAAACAAAUCCAAGACCAACCCCAGACAAAGCACAAGAGCAUCAGAACUGAAAAGUAAAAAAUGCAAACCGAGUGUAAAAACAAUCUGAGAACUCUUUUAUAUGGAGGUUGCUCACCUGGAG